ensembl:snoRNA
UUGCAAAUCAUCCAGCAUGCUUGGGUUUAGGGUGACCCAGUGCGUUCCUGCAGUGCUUGCUUAGCAUGUUCUGAAAUGGUUUCAGGUCAUGCUCUGUCCCUUCUUCAGAGCAUGGUCAUAGACAUCUUACAUGGUU